UACGAAGGGGGCGAGCGUUGUUCGGAUUUACUGGGCGUAAAGGGCGCGCAGGCGGCCGGCCAAGUCAGGCGUGAAAGCCCCGGGCUUAACCUGGGAACUGCGUCGGAUACUGGAUGGCUUGAAUUCGGGAGAGGAUGCAGGAAUUCCAGGUGUAGCGGUGAAAUGCGUAGAUAUCUGGAGGAAUACCGGUGGCGAAGGCGGCAUCCUGGACCGACAUUGACGCUGAUGAGCGAAAGCUAGGGGAGCAAACGGG
rnacentral:rRNA from 1 species